AAGCAGAGGACAGUGGCGGACGGGUGAGUAACGCGUGAGGAACCUGCCUUCAGGAUGGGGACAACAGACGGAAACGACUGCUAAUACCGAAUAAGUUCCAAGAGCCGCAUGGCCCAUGGAAGAAAAGGUGGCCUCUACCUGUAAGCUAUCGCCUGAAGAGGGGUUUGCGUCUGAUUAGCUAGUUGGUGAGGUAACGGCCCACCAAGGCGACGAUCAGUAGCCGGUCUGAGAGGAUGAACGGCCACACUGGAACUGAGACACGGUCCAGACUCC
rnacentral:rRNA from 1 species